UGAAAGCGAUAGGGCAAUCACGUCGCCGCACCAAUUCCGACCACUCAAUUGAUGACAUGGAGCAUCGGCAGCCACCGCCCAUCGGCUUUCAUGUCUCGCCGACCCCAUCAGUGCCGCCUCUACCUUCCUCGCCCUCCGCGGGCAGCUUCCAUGUCGCUGUGCCAAUUCCGACCGCUACCGGGGUGAAACAGAAGCGAUAGGGCAACCAUGUUGCUGCGCCAAUUCUGGCUGCUGCUGGGGUGAAACGAAAGCGACAAGGCAACCACCUCGUUGCGCCAAUUCCGAUCGUUGCUGGGGUGAAACAGAAGCGGGAGCGAAACCAUGUCGUCCAGGGAGGCGUUCCCCUUCCGACCGUAGGCACCCUGCUCCCUCCCGCGUAUGGCGGUGCCUUCUCAGGCACCGGCUCGGCUUCGGUGGCCUCUGCCUAGGGCCUGAGGAAAGUCAAGGCUCUGACUGCACCUACCAAGGUCCCGAAGAAGGCCAAGGCUCCGACGGCUCGACGACAGGCGCCUCCUCCACCCAAUCCGGAGGCCCAUGUACCCCGCGCUCCCGUCAACUCCACCGGCGUCCACAACAUGCUCGAGGAAACGUCAGAGAGCUACGACUUGCAUACCGUUCAUACAUCAUAUGCGGAUUUGUUGGAGGAGAAUGAGGUGAACAUCAUGAGUGCUCCUUCAUCGAGGACAAGUACCAUAAGCUCAUGCCGACCCCAUCUGACCUUUCAUUGAAUUCACUCCAAGGCCGGUGGGAUGUGAUCAAAACACAUUGUGGCUGUUGGAGUGGUUUCUUGGAGAAAGUUAGGAACGCACCUCCAAGUGAUUGCACAAUUGACGACUAUGAUUGCAUUGUCUGUGAAAGAUUCAAGCAAAUUGCGGUUUCCAAAUGCAAACCAUUUUUGCUCCAACAUUGUUGGAACUUGCUUCCAGAAAAUGAGAAAUGGAGGUUGAGGGAUCAAGAAGCUCUACCAAAGAAAGGUGCACCCGUUAACUUGGAAGAAGAUGAUGCAUGAAAGGGAGGAAGAAAUAAGGGAAAGCCUGAUGGAAGAAAGUUGGAGAAAGAUAGUGUGAAGAGGUCGUCUCUAGCUUGAGGGAGCAAAUUAGUACAAUGGUGAAGUAAGGAAACUAUGAUGGAGAAGCAUUUGGCAACUAAGUUGGCGUUGGCCGAGAAGAACCAACAAAAGGAGGCAAAGUGGGAGAGAAGACGUGCCUCCGAGGAGCGCAAUAUCGCUCUUGAGGAGCAAAAGAGGAAGGACAACAAGAUCGCCGAGGAGGACCGAUUCUUGAUGAUGGAUCUGAGUGGUAUGGAGCCGAUGGCAACAAAGUUUUAUGAGUUGAAAAGAAUGGAUAUCAUGGUUCAUAGGAGGCAAGAGCUUCAUGAUCUUAUCGCCAGUGGUGGUGGUGCUUCGGCCAAUGUGGUGCUUCCGGCAAUGGUGAUGAUGGCGGUGCCAUAGCCGGUGGUGGCAACGAUGAUCUUGUCAACAAUAGUGUUGCUUGAUUUGGUCAAGUCUAAUUGUGUUUAAUUGCACAUUCUUUUGGACAAUCUUAAUUGCUACCUCUUAUAUUGCGCAUGCUUUUGGAUGUGAACUAUUGCCGUACUAGUAUUGUACGACAUUUUCA